CUAUUUUCAAAUUGCUUUUUAAAAUUUUGUCCUUUUUUAAUCGAAUUUUUUGGAGUGACCCUAUUAACAAAAUUAUACAGGUUUCAGGUGCAAGAAUUUUAAUUGGACUCUCUACCCAGAAUUCCACUUACAUAAAAAACAAAAACUCACCCUUGUGUAAUUGAAGAUUCUAGGAACAUUGAUUUUCAAUUUGAAUGGAAAAAAUGGUAAUUUGGAGUAUAUUGCCAACAGGUUAGCUAACUUAAUAUGGCUGCCCAAAAUAACUUAAAACGGGAGAGAAAUUGGUUUUGAAUGCAUCGGGUAUAUUUUUUCUGAGACCUAUUACAAUAUGUUUGAAUGUCAAGUAUUAGUGUAGGACUAUUAACCUCUACAUUUGGGGAUGCAUGUAACACUUUUUACAUAAUAAAUUGGAAGGCAUAGGCUUUGUUCGUAGGUUCUGUUAACUUUUGGGAUGAAAGCAUGAGUAGAUUUGCCUUUAAGUCUCUGAAAUCUUAUAAUGUGAGAAAAUCCUAUUUCACAUCAUGUAUUUAGUUGGAUUCAAAGUCUUUAAAGUGUUUUUAAAGCAUUAAAUCUCAGUGUCUUAAAUGUCUUCAAUGUAUGGGGAAUCAUACUCUUUUUAACGCAAUAAUUCGGGAAUCUUCCCCCUCCCUCUCAUUUUUAUUUUCACUACUUCAGAAAUAGCCUCAAACCUCCUCCCUCCCUUUGGAAGGUUUGGGAUCCUGCAAAAAGGCUGCUUGUUAACAAAAUGGGUUUAACUUUUCUCUAAUAGGGAAAGAGAUGAAGUGAGUGGGUUUAGAAAAUUCUAAAUAUUUGUGACAUAUUGUAAAGUUUAUUUGAUGAGUAAUUGUGUGUGUUUUUUUCUAACAGGAAAAUUGCAAAUAGGAAUAAUCAAAUUUUUUGAGUGCCUACUAUGUGCCAAAAUUAUAUUGGUAUUCUCUGGUAUAGGACCUAUUAUUGGCUGUAUUUUACAAAUAGGAAAACUGAGGUUCAGAGAGGCUUCUUAACAGCUUAGUUAAGAAGCAAGGUCAGUGUUCAAACUGAGUUUGAUUGAGAUAUCUAGUCUGAGGCUUGAAACUAGUAUCAAUUUUAUUAUCAUUAAUUGUUCACCAUCUUAAAUUAUCAUAUUGUCUACUUGCAUUUGCUGCUUUAUACUUAGAUUCAGACUUAUCUCAAAGAAAAUUAAAAAAUUUAGCCUAAAGAUUUUAAAAUUAUAGUUUAUCUCCAAGCCACACAUGGAAGUUUUUGUAUUGACUUCUAGUUAGGGUUAUCUGUUAUUGUGUGCUUUCUUCAUUCUCCAUUUAAGAUAAUUGAGAGGUUUCUUUUUAUUGUGAUGAACAAAAUAGAAAGUAUAUAUGAUU